UACAGAGGGGGCAAGCGUUGUUCGGAAUUACUGGGCGUAAAGGGCGCGUAGGCGGCCUGCUAAGUCGAACGUGAAAUCCCCGAGCUCAACUCGGGAACUGCGUCCGAUACUGGCAGGCUUGAAUCCGGGAGAGGGAUGCGGAAUUCCAGGUGUAGCGGUGAAAUGCGUAGAUAUCUGGAGGAACACCGGUGGCGAAGGCGGCUUUCUGGACAGAUACCGACGCUGAGGCACGAAAGCUAGGGGAGCAAACAGG
rnacentral:rRNA from 1 species